UUAAUAGAAGCCAAAAAGAGGCUUAUCACUGUUAAUGAUAUCAUUGAAAUAACAUUUCCUAUUAAA
rnacentral:tRNA from 1 species